UACGAAGGGAGCUAGCGUUGUUCGGAAUCACUGGGCGUAAAGCGCACGUAGGCGGAUGUGUCAGUCAGGGGUGAAAUCCCGGAGCUCAACUUCGGAACUGCCUUUGAUACAGCACGUCUUGAGUCCGAUAGAGGUGGGUGGAAUUCCUAGUGUAGAGGUGAAAUUCGUAGAUAUUAGGAAGAACACCGGUGGCGAAGGCGGCCCACUGGAUCGGGACUGACGCUGAGGUGCGAAAGCGUGGGGAGCAAACAGG
rnacentral:rRNA from 1 species